rnacentral:lncRNA from 1 species
CAAAGUUUUUGCUGGUCUAAGCAUUUCGAGUUUGCUAAGUUAGGACAAUUUUGAGUUUGCUAAAACAUUAUAAUGAUAUUAAUGCAAGAUGAACAUGACACUUAUCUAUAUUUUAAUCUUAUUAAUGUAGUUGUAACUUGUAGAAAGGAGUUCUUGAGAUGAACUCUCUUUUUGACAUAAGUAUUAUCGUAAGUUGGACUCUAGUUUUUGAUUUUCUUCUUCUUGUAUAACCAUUCAUAAUGGUUCAUGUCGAUCUGCUCUUUUGAUAUAUAUGAGUCAAUAGUCUUUGCUCCACAAUAAUAACCUAAAAGUGUUUGUUUAAAACUCAUGUUUUGAAUUUUAAUUUCCUGCUUUCUUACUUCACCUGUUGUCCUAAUAAUGAUAAUUAGGACGAGGAUAAUUAGGACUUUACCACAGCAGUAGUCAGUAGAUCUUGUUUUAACCAGCGUCUUAGACCUUUAAGGUCCAAAAGGUUGGUUUCUUUGAAAAUAUGGGUCUAGACAAGGUGAUGUAUCUGUCUGCAAAUAAAGAGGAAUCUACUGGUCUAAUGAGCUUCUGCUGGAGCUAAGAGAUGAGAGAACUUUUGGAGAUGGAGAGGUUGAGGUGAAAUAGAGGUUGUGUAUUGUUGACAUGAAGAGAUUUGAAGACAAGAAAGCAAUCCAAAAAAUAAAUAAAUCUGAGUUCAGGUUUUGGAUGGUCUAGAUGAAAUGUAAAAAAUAUUUUGUAUAAAGAUUGCAGCAGUGCUGGGAAAAUCUGGAGCUGUUGCCAUUGGAGAUCCAAAAAUCAGAAAUAUUGGUUGGACAUUCUGCGACUGUAGUGUACUAGCCAACUGGCCGAUUCGUAUUUCUCCUGCAAGUCUGCAAAGUGUGAAGUAAUGAAUGUGAUCCUUACUGUUUAGAUCUCUAUACUUUUCAGUGGUUCAUAUUAUUGGUCAUACAUACAUUUCCC